AGCUGAUUUCGUCUUGGUAAUAAGCUCGUCAUUGAGAUUAUCACCGGGUGUAAAUCAGCUUG
rnacentral:pre_miRNA from 1 species